AUUGAACGCUGGCGGCAGGCCUAACACAUGCAAGUCGAACGCGUGGCGGACGGGUGAGUAAUGUCUGGGAAACUGCGCGAUGGAGGGGGAUAACUACUGAAAACGGUAGCUAAUACCGCAUACCAUCGGAUGUGCCCAGUUGGUAUUAGCUAGUAGGUGGGGUAACGGCUCACCUAGGCGACAAUCCUUAGCUGGUCUGAGAGGAUGACCAGCCACACUGGAACUGAGACACGGUCCAGACUCCUACGGGAGGCAGCAGUGGGGAAUAUUGCACAAUGGGCGCAAGCCUGAUGCAGCCAUGCCGCGUGUGUGAAGAAGGCCUUCGGGUUGUAAAGUACUUUCAGCGGGGAGGCGUUACCCGCAGAAGAAGCACCGGCUAACUCCGUGCCAGCCGCCGCGGUAAUAC
rnacentral:rRNA from 1 species